AUGAUCUUCCUUCCUGCCUUCCCUGAUUCAUCAACCUUCUGGAACACCGACCACAACCAGCUUCAGCUGCAACAAUUCGGCACCAACAAUCAUAGUACUACUACUUUUUCACCUGCUAGUCCUAGUGAUGGAGAAUGCAGCAACAACAACAACAACAACAACAACAACAACAACAACAACAACAACAACAACAACAACAACAACAACAACAACAACAACAAGAACAACAAUCAAAAACGGUUCAUGGCCAUGGCCAAGGCCGGCUCCUGCGCUGCAGGGGGUGGCGAUGAUGGUUGCGGCGGUGCUGGGGACGGCGAUUGCGGUGGCAAUGGGAAAAGCAAGUCGAUGUCCAUGUCGGAGCGAGCACGGCUAGCGCGGUUGCCGCAACCGGUGUCGGGACUCAACUGCCCGCGAUGCGACUCCACCAACACCAAGUUUUGCUACUUCAAUAACUACUCCCUUACGCAGCCCCGCCACUUCUGCCGCUCCUGCCGCCGCUACUGGACCCACGGUGGCAUGCUUCGCAACGUGCCAGUCGGCGGGGGGUAUCGUCGCCAUGCCAAGCGCAGGGCCAAGCCUAAGGUGGUGUCAGACACCUCCCGAGCCGCUAUGGUAGGGACGUCUUCCGUGACAUCAACUAUGUCCAGCAGUACAACAUAUGUCACCGGCACCGGCACUGCACCACCCAGAUUGCAGUACCCCAUGUUCAGUAGCGCGCCAUCGCACGAUAACCAGUUCGUCGAUAGCUUCGACCCAGCGAAUAUUGGUCUCAGCUUCCCCAUUAGGCUGCUCUUUGCCGAUAGCGAUGCUUACGCAAUGGACGACUGUGCGCAGAACCACCACCACCAUGCUCAUGGGAACGGGAUGGAGCAGUUGUCGGCAACGCGGAAUAGUUUCCCAUUCAUCCACGUGGUGGAUCAUCAGAUGUCUGGACUACCAGCUGAAGCAAUGCCCAUCACGAUGGCUGCGAUGGAGGGCAUGUUCCACCUAAGGUUACAGAGCGUCGGCGGGGGUACUGGCGACGAGAUAGGAGGCCAACAGUUGCACCACCCGCUGGCCAAGAGAAACCACAAGCGCCAGGAUUACCCGAGCAGCAGGGGCAUGUAUAGGGACGUGGUCAAUGGCAAUUGCGGCGGCGAUUACAUUUAA
rnacentral:rRNA from 1 species